rnacentral:lncRNA from 1 species
GAUGCUGUCGUAAGCAGCGUUGGAAUGAGAAGGUUGUGCAGCAUUGAUCCCACAGUAGUCCGGUUCACCGUUUCCCAUUUCAAGUCUCCUUCCCAACUGAACGUUUGGAUUGGAUAGGUAGCUUUGUUGGCUUCCUGACAGAGAGAGGUUUUCACAGUGGGGAAGACCAAGAGUGAGGGAAACACUAUUUCCAUGAAAUCUGGGUGCCAACUGCUCAGGGUUAAACCUUCCUAUGUCUCCAAUGGGGGAGUAUGCGCCAAAUCCACCACCAUUAUUUAUAGCUCCUGUUAUUAAUGGAUAUCCAUCCUUGGCUUGCCUUUCACUACCAAACUUCAUGCUAAUUUCCCUACUUGUCCCACCGGGUUUCAUUUCCAUGUCC